AGGGUAACGGCCUACCAAGGCGAAGACGGGUAGCUGGUCUGAGAGGAUGAUCAGCCACACUGGCACUGGAACACGGGCCAGACUCCUACGGGAGGCAGCAGUGAGGAAUAUUGGGCAAUGGGCGCAAGCCUGACCCAGCCACGCCGCGUGAGUGAUGAAGGCCUUCGGGUUGUAAAGCUCUGUGGGGAGGGAAGAAAAACUUGGGUUCGAAUAGGGCUCGAGGUUGACGGUACCUCCUUAGCAAGCACCGGCUAACUCUGUGCCAGCAGCCGCGGUAAGACAGAGGGUGCAAACGUUGCUCGGAAUCACUGGGCGUAAAGGGCGCGUAGGCGGAUCGGGAAGUCGGGUGUGAAAUCCCUGGGCUCAACCUAGGAACUGCAUUCGAAACUCCCGGUCUAGAGUGACGGAGAGGAAAGCGGAAUUCCCGGUGUAGAGGUGAAAUUCGUAGAUAUCGGGAGGAACACCAGAGGCGAAGGCGGCUUUCUGGACGUUGACUGACGCUGAGGCGCGAAAGCGUGGGGAGCAAACAGGAUUAGAUACCCUGGUAGUCCACGCCGUAAACGAUGGGCACUAGGUGUCGCGACGAUGACCGUUGCGGCGCCGUAGCUAACGCACUAAGUGCCCCGC
rnacentral:rRNA from 1 species